CGUGGUCACGUGGCCGCCGCCGCCGCCGCCGCCCGCCCUGCUCUCUUUCGGGUCGGGCCAGGCCGGCUCCGCGAGCGCCCGGCGGAGGCUGUGGGAGAGAGAGAGGAGGGGAGGAGGAGGAGGAUUCAGGGAAGGGGCGCUGGGGAGCCCUUCUGCGCCACAGAUGACUUGGCCUGCAGUGACUCCAAAUCCUACAAUCCUUCCAAUUUUCUCCGUUCUACUAAGUGUAUGCUGUUUAUCCAGCACACUCAAUUAAAGGAGAACUCAGCCAGACUCUCUUUCUUGAUUCCUCUUCACUUCCUAUUUGCCAGCAAAGAUGUAUAUUUAAUGAAUUUUGUUGUACUGAGCCUGAAAUUAUCUUUGACCCAAAACAAGAACAUGCAUUUUCAAGUGUCAACUAGAUUUUUGGGUCAGUAAAGUUCUCCUGAAAGGUAAGCAUAUAUUUAUUCAAAAUGCACAUUUCAGUAUUGAGUCUACUUAAUACUCUUACCGUAGCUGUGUGUUCUAUAGACUUAAUAAAAAAAAAAAAGUACAUGCAUACGCACCUGUCGCUUCUGCCAAGUUUAGAUUGAACGCU
rnacentral:lncRNA from 1 species